UACGUAGGGUGCAAGCGUUGUCCGGAAUUAUUGGGCGUAAAGAGCUCGUAGGCGGUUUGUCGCGUCGAAUGUGAAAACCCGGGGCUCAACCCCGGGCCUGCAUUCGAUACGGGCAGACUGGAGUUCGGUAGGGGAGUCUGGAAUUCCUGGUGUGGCGGUGAAAUGCGCAGAUAUCAGGAGGAACACCGGUGGCGAAGGCGGGACUCUGGGCCGAUACUGACGCUGAGGAGCGAAAGCGUGGGGAGCAAACAGG
rnacentral:rRNA from 1 species